AAGCGAUACUGGCUUGCUAGGAGGCGUCGAGCGGCGGACGGGUGAGUAAUGCAUAGGAAUCUGCCCGGUAGUGGGGGAUAACUUGAGGAAACUCAAGCUAAUACCGCAUACGCCCUACGGGGGAAAGCAGGGGCUCUUCGGACCUUGCGCUAUCGGAUGAGCUUAUGUCGGAUUAGCUGGUUGGUGAGGUAACGGCUCACCAAGGCGACGAUCCGUAGCUGGUCUGAGAGGAUGAUCAGCCACAUCGGGACUGAGACACGGCCCGAACUCCUACGGGAGGCAGCAGUGGGGAAUAUUGGACAAUGGGGGCAACCCUGAUCCAGCCAUGCCGCGUGUGUGAAGAAGGCCCUCGGGUUGUAAAGCACUUUCANCGAGGAANAAUGCUUGUCGGUUAAUACCCGGCAAGGGAGACAUNACUCNCAGAANAAGCACCNGCUAACUNCGUGCCA
rnacentral:rRNA from 1 species